rnacentral:rRNA from 1 species
AAUAGAUACCUUCGGUAGUCCACGCCCUAACGAUGUGUGCUAGAUGUCGGGGGACGUUGUCUCGUCGGUGGUCGGUAGUUAACGUUUUAAGCACACCGCCGUGGGGAGGUACGGCCGCAAGGUUAAAACUACAAAGGAAUUGGACGGGGGCCCGCACAAGCGGUGGAGCAUGUGGUUUAAUUCGACGCAACGCGCAGAACCUUACCAACUCUUGACAUGGCCGUUCUAGCUGCAGAGAUGCAGUGUCCCGGCAAGGGGGGCGGUCACAGGUGCUGCAUGGCUGUCGUCAGCUCGUGUCGUGAGAUGGUUGGGUUAAGUCCCGCAACGAGCGCAACCCUUGUCCGUAGUUGCCAUCAGGGUUGGGCUGGGCACUCUACGGGGGACUGCCGGUGACAAGCCGGAGGAAGGUGGGGAUGACGUCAAGUCCUNAUGGCCCCUUAGGAGUUGGGCUACACACGUGCUACGAAUGGGUGGUGACAGAGGGCAGCCCAGGGUCGCGGAGGCCGAGCAAAAUCCCUAAAAAGCCAUCUCAGUUUCGGAUUGCUA